GUCCAUUUUGGGCGAGGUAAACUGCAUGGGGUUGUCUCUUAAAAAAAAAAAAAAAUGUUGGUCGGGCCUUGACCGUGCAGCUCCCCUCCAAUGGAAACAGUUUUGUCUUUCUGAAAUGGGCGAUGGAUCCAUGGCUUUGUAAACUCAAACGACUUACUGGACAUGGUUUGCGGGUGACCAGUUAGAUCUCCGUCAGGUAGAAAGAGAACUGGAGAAGAGGUGCAGAAAAAAAGAGUGUGAGGUAGAAUGAGAGAUAGAGAGAUGGUGAUCAAGCUCGACUCGCUCCUGGCCUGGCGAGCGGCGAGUUAGGUUGAAUAUGCCAAUGUGAAAUUGGUUAAUAAUUGGGCUUAGCUAAAAAAUCACGUAUCAUCACGAAGACAAGAAUUAUAUAUUAUUUAAGACAAGGAAAAAUGUAAAUUUGAAAAAGAAAAAUCCAAGAACAGGAAGAAAUAGAGAUUCAACUAUUAUUUGAAGAAUUAUUAUGCUCUUGUUUGUUCCCAUCAUUUCCAAACUACAUUUUUCUCUCUCAUUUUAUCUCAAACCCAGAGUAUACCCACAAGAAACAUACUAUACGGGAUAGCACAAAGUAUAUUCAAACUGAUGUUCUUCACAAAGUAUGUCUAAUAAAUUGAGAUCUCGAAGGAUUUUCGAGUCUACAUAUUAACAGAGAUGCUGAUUAACUCUUCCUCUUUGAUGUGUGGAUAGACAACACCUCUAUAAAUAUAAGAAAAAGAAGUUCAAUUCCUUAAAAAUUUAGAACAAAAAUAAAUGUUUAAACGGAUCCCUUAGACCAUCUCUAACCCUGAACCAUUUUGCACCGAACUAAAAAUUAUCUCCAACCCAUUAUACCAAAAGUUGCACCAAAUGAACAGUGUUUAUUCUUUUUCGUCAUUUCUUUUAUUUUUAACAAUUUAUAUAGCUAAAAAAAU
rnacentral:lncRNA from 1 species